AACCAUUCUCACCUGCGGCUAGACCUGCGGAAGGAUCAUUAUCGUUGGGCUCCUGCCCAUUCGAGAUAACACCCUUGCCUUUUUGAGUACCUUUUCGUUUCCUCGGCAGGCACGCCUGCCAACGGGGACCCUUCAAAACGCUUUGUAAUACCUGUCAUUGUCUGAUAUAACAAGCAAAAAUCAAAACUUUCAACAACGGAUCU
rnacentral:misc_RNA from 1 species